CUACGGGCGGCAGCAGUAAGGAAUAUUGCACAAUGGGGGGAACCCUGAUGCAGCAACGCCGCGUGGAGGAUGACGCAUUUCGGUGUGUAAACUCCUUUUAUAUGUCAAGAAAAUGACGGUAGCAUAUGAAUAAGCACCGGCUAACUCCGUGCCGGCAGCCGCGGUAAUACGGAGGGUGCAAGCGUUACUCGGAAUCACUGGGCGUAAAGGACGCGUAGGCGGGUUGGAAAGUCAGGUGUGAAAUCCUACAGCUUAACUGUAGAACUGCACUUGAAACUUCUAAUCUAGAGUAUGGGAGGGGGAGAUGGAAUUAGUGGUGUAGGGGUAAAAUCCGUAGAUAUCACUAGGAAUACCUAAAGCGAAGGCGAUCUCCUGGAACAUUACUGACGCUAAGGCGUGAAAGCGUGGGGAGCAAACAGGAUUAGAUACCCGGGUAGUC
rnacentral:rRNA from 1 species